rnacentral:lncRNA from 1 species
GGUGCGGAAGGCUUCUUGGAACAUAUCCCGUGUGACAAGCUCAAUAGGGGUGGUGAUCUGGUAGUUCUCCCACCACGAUGCAGCUGGUCCUUCCAACAGAUGGGCUGCAAACCGAACUUUUUCCUCCUCGGUGCAGUCGAUGGUCACCAAAUUCUUGUUCACAGAGCGGAGCCAGUCGUUUGCCACGAUUGGCUCUGGUGAGCUAGAGAAGGUGGGUGGGUGCAAGCGCAGAAACCUUGUCAACAUGUCCACUUGAGGUGGGUGGUGCUGCUGGUUGUUGUUGGGGUUCUACUGGUGGUUGGCAUUGUUGUUGGCUAACUGCUGUGUAAUCAUCUGGAAGAAUUGGGUCUGAGCGGCCAAUAACUGUUGCAUGGUGGCAGCAUUCCUUUCUGCGUUGGCAUUGUUAGCCUCGGCGUUGUUGGCGGGGUUCCGGCGUCUCGGAGGCAUCUGUUUAGGGUAGUAUAGAUGAGGAAACAGAUAGAAUAGAGCUAAGGAUAACUAAACCCCCAAACAAGAUAUUACUCAAGCAUAUAUCAAUCAUACACUCAUCAAUCAUGAAAGGUUUUGGAAAUCGUAGCAAAACACACUUGUUUAUGGUGGGGCAUUGCCCAUAAAGAAAGAAAAAAAAAAGAGGACGAGGAAAAAGUAAUCGACCUACAUUGCCAUACACAUAGAUUGUAUGGUCAAUGACUAACUCGCAAAGCUGAUAACGAUAAAAACUAAUAUAAGCUGGUAGGCAUCAAUAGAUCUAGGGGAGUGUGGCUGUCGGUGUGGUCCCGUUCGCCUUCAUCUUGGAGCGGGUGUUGGUAGCAGGGG